rnacentral:rRNA from 1 species
GACGAACGCUGGCGGCGUGCCUAAUACAUGCAAGUAGGACGCAGUUGCGAACGGGUGAGUAACGCGUAGGUAACUGCCCAUUAGAGGGGGAUAACUAUUGGAAACGAUAGCUAAUACCGCAUACUAGUAGAUGGAACUGCGUUGUAUUAGCUAGUAGGUAGGGUAAUGGCCUACCUAGGCAACGAUACAUAGCCGACCUGUAAGGUGGAUCGGCCAACCUUGGACUGAGCAACGGCCCAGACUCCUACGGGAGGCAGCAGUAGGGAAUCUUCGGCAAUGGGGCGAACACUGACCGAGCAACGCCGCGUGAGUGAAGAAGGUUUUCGGAUCGUAAAGCUCUGUUGUUAAGGAAGCGGUACUUAACCAGAAAGGGACGGCUAACUACGUGCCAGCAGCCGCGGUAAUAC